rnacentral:rRNA from 1 species
GAUGGUAGGAUAGAGGCCUACCAUGGUGGUAACGGGUAACGGGGUGUUAGGGCACGACACCGGAGAGGGAGCCUGAGAAACGGCUACCACAUCCAAGGAUGGCAGCAGGCGCGCAAAUUACCCAAUCCCGACACGGGGAGGUAGUGACAAUAAAUAACAAUACGGGGUUCUUUAGGAUCUCGUAAUUGGAAUGAGUACAAUUUAAAUCUCUUAACGAGGAACAAUUGGAGGGCAAGUCUGGUGCCAGCAGCCGCGGUAAUUCCAGCUCCAAUAGCGUAUAUUAAAGUUGUUGCAGUUAAAAAGCUCGUAGUUGAAUUUCGGGGUUAGUAGGUUGGUCAUGCCUCUGGUAUGUACUGGUCUCACUGAUUCCUCCUUCCUUAUGAACCGUAAUGCCAUUAAUUUGGUGUUGCGGGGAAUUUGGACUGUUACUUUGAAAAAAUUAGAGUGUUUAAAGCAAGCUAACGCUUGAAUACAUUAGCAUGGAAUAAUGAAAUAGGACGUUCGAUCUUAUUUUGUUGGUUUCUAGGAUUGACGUAAUGAUUAAUAGGGAUAGUUGGGGGCAUUAGUAUUCAAUUGUCAGAGGUGAAAUUCUUGGAUUUAUUGAAGACUAACUACUGCGAAAGCAUUUGCCAAGGAUGUUUUCAUUAAUCAAGAACGAAAGUUAGGGGAUCGAAGACGAUCAGAUACCGUCGUAGUCUUAACCAUAAACUAUGCCGACUAGGGAUCGGAUG